rnacentral:tmRNA from 1 species
GGGCUCGACCGGAAUAGACAGGAUGGAUGAUGAGUGUGUAAGCAUGCAGCGCAAUGAAGGCUCAGCGCUCAAAUAUUGGUCUUCACAACAUAACAGGCGAAAAUAACUACGCUCUUGCUGCCUAAUCUUAACCAAGUUAAGAUUGCUUAGUCGCACUUAAGAAGUGCGAGCGAGAUGUUUCCCGGUUGCCAAGUCUGGCGGCGACCGAUAUGGAAGCACGGAAAUGCCGGAAUAAGGAAAAGCAGGUUUCGGGCUUUUCUCGAAAACUUUAGAAACUAAGGGGUAACCGGGGUGUUUAUGUCCAAGUUGCUCACGAAAACUAACCAUAAAAUAAGCAUGUAGAAAGCACAACUGGUCCCAUGUUUGGACGAGGGUUCGAAUCCCUCCGGGUCCACUU